GCCUCUGUUGUGUCACAGGUGGCUCGCACCAAUAAUGUCGUUUGCGUGUAUAUUUUUUGCUCUGUUUAUUUCAUUCAUUGUCCAAUCUUUUAUUUGUUACUUUGUAUAUAAUUCGGGUGUUUUCUUAGCUUGGACUGUUUCACCCAUUGAGCACAUGUGGGUUCCCCCACUUUUUGCCUGACAAUGUGCCUACUUGUUGGGCAGACCAAAGUUGUGGUUAAGAAGGAUGUUGUGUCACACUGAUCCUACAGAGGAGAGACCAAAGUUAAUCUUUUGCUCAUCUGCCCAAAAAACAUUACACUGAAGCUCCAGCAUUUCAACCUGCAUUUAGACAGAUGUUCUGUAACUGCUACUUUAACGAGAAGCUCAUCCAUGCUGACCCAGGAGCAGAAGGACCACCGUUUCUGAUCAUUUACUUGCGAUAAAACUUUGGUGUACGACCUUGAGAUGAAGCAACGCUGUUCAGUGGAAAGAUAAUCUUCACAAUUGAAAAACACGAGGGAGGUCCGCAGCUCUAUCAUGCCCCAGAAGAUACUGUGUAUGCAGUGCAGCUUCAGAAGUACUUGUUGGGUCUCAGAUAAAUGCAGAGCAAAUGGGGAAAUAAAAACUUUCCAAAGACUUUAUACUUUUUAGUUUACAUACUUGUCCUACUGCACGGUUGGAAAUUAACAGGUACUUGGGGCAAAAUUGUCACUUCAGCUCGACGGCAGCUCUAUUCCCAGUGUCAUGAUUUAAGUGUCAUUUAAAAAGUCUCAUAUUUUAGAGCUGAUCUGUUGAUGUUGCAUUAGAUUGCCACCAAAUACACACUUUUGUUGAAUGCAGUGUUUAAAGCGUUUUGAUUUGUCACUGCGUGUGCUCAUUGUCUGAAUUUUAAAUCUGCAUUUGCAAUUUCUCAUCAUAAAAGAUUUUCUCUUUUGCUGCAAAA